GCAAGUCGAGGGGUAACAGAGUAGCUUGCUACUGCUGACGACCGGCGCACGGGUGCGUAACGCGUAUACAAUCUACCUUAUACAGGAGGAUAGCCCUAAGAAAUUGGGAUUAACACUCCAUAGUAUUAUCAUUUCGCAUGAUUUAGAUAAUUAAAACUUCGGUGGUAUAAGAUGAGUAUGCGUCCUAUUAGCUAGAUGGUAAGGUAACGGCUUACCAUGGCAACGAUAGGUAGGGGGCCUGAGAGGGUUAUC
rnacentral:rRNA from 1 species